rnacentral:rRNA from 1 species
GGGGAGGAAGGGAGUAAAGUUAAUACCUUUGCUCAUUGACGUUACCCGCAGAAGAAGCACCGGCUAACUCCGUGCCAGCAGCCGCGGUAAUACGGAGGGUGCAAGCGUUAAUCGGAAUUACUGGGCGUAAAGCGCACGCAGGCGGUUUGUUAAGUCAGAUGUGAAAUCCCCGGGCUCAACCUGGGAACUGCAUCUGAUACUGGCAAGCUUGAGUCUCGUAGAGGGGGGUAGAAUUCCAGGUGUAGCGGUGAAAUGCGUAGAGAUCUGGAGGAAUAC